rnacentral:lncRNA from 1 species
CAACACAUUACUAUCAUGAUCCAGUGUCUAUGAGUUAUAACACGGUACAUUAUUACAAUUCAUAUUGUCUACAAACAUGGUAAUAAACGAACACGGAUUUUUACGAUGCAUUAGUGCGCCCUUUGAUAGAUAAUCAUUUUUAUGUAGAAAUUUAGUACGGAUUUGCGGUUCAUCUAUCUUUGAAUAAAUAUGUAAGACAAUGAUUGAGAGACAAAAUGGAAAACAAAGGACUAUUUGAAAAUUGAACUGCUUUUGUUCAAUUUAGGUUUCUUUUGAUAUAAGCAAAACUGUUAAGUAUAAAUUUGUUUCAAGUUUCUUAUAAAAUGAACACAGGCCUGAUAGUCGAAAUACCGAAAUAAGAACUCUAUAGUUCAUUAUUUUUGUUAGAUUUGAUCAGACCUCUUCAUUGCGGUAUUAAAGGAAAAAUGAUCAAUCUACACUGAAGGCUGUAACAAAGAUGUUACCAUCAUAUCACAUCGCCUUCAUUCUUCUAAGCAUAAACUGCA